AUGCUUGUAUUGUUCAAGUUGAGCACUAACACAGGCUUGUGUUGCCAUUUUCAGGAUUGCAUUGGGGCAAUAGAUGGUACUCAUGUCACUACCAGAGUUCCUAAGUCACAGUCAGCAGCAUACAGGGGGAGGAAGCACUACACAAGCCAGAAUGUGCUUGCUGCUGUUGACUUUGAUCUGAAGAUCACAUAUGUGCUAGCUGGCUGGAAGGGGUCAACGCAUAAUGCUAACAUUCUCACUGACAGCAUGAGUCGACCUGAUGGGAUCAACAUCCCCGACGGCAAGUUCUACCUUGGAGAUGCUGGCUAUGCAUGUCGGCCGGGUAUUCUUCCACCCUUCAGGAAAACAAGGUACAAUCUCAACGAGUUCUCUGGUAGGAACUAUCCUAGGACUGCACAGGAGCUGUUUAAUCUCAGACACUCCAGCCUUAGAGUAACUGUUGAGAGGGCAUUUGGAGCUCUGAAGAAUAGGUUUAAGAUCCUGGAUCAGAAGCCAUUCCACCCAUACUCCACUCAGGUUAAGCUAGUUCUUGCUUGUUGCAUUCUGCAUAACUGGAUCCUUCAGUGGGGCUUUGAUGAACACGUGCCUGAGGAAGACGAUGUCGAGCCUGACGAUGUUGUUAGCUCCGGCCAUGGUGUGGAGGCAUUUGACAAUGGCGCUUGGAAGAACAAAAGGUUGGAGUGGGCAGAGGCGAUGUGGCUUAACAGAGGUCAGUGCAGGAUUUGA
rnacentral:rRNA from 1 species